rnacentral:tRNA from 1 species
UGGCUCAGUUGGUAGAGCAUAGUGCUUGCAGCACUGGAGUUGUGGGCUUGAUUCCCAU